UAGCUGAUGCCGAAAUUUUGACAUUGUUACAUAUGUGUAGAAAAUCGCGGAUAAAUUUAAACUAGGAACUAGGUGGUUGCCUGACGAGUCAAUUAGUAACAGUUUUAUUAUUCUAUAGAACAGCAGGAUGGCAGGAAGCUUUAUGUAGAAAGGACUAUUCAUUGACCAUUGUGUGUCGCGAGUGUUAUAUGAGAUGAAAUUUGGCGGAUGUGAAAGUAAAAACAUAAACCCGGAUAUGUGUCUCACACACAGUGCAUCCGUCUACGAGGUGAAUGAUCUGAUAUCUUAAAACACUCCUCCAUCAAAUGAAUAUCAUGCAAGUUGAUUCCUAUAGCUAAAUUCCGUCCUACAACGAAAGAAUCAUUAAGGAUGACAGGAUAUCGAUUAUUCUAAAUAGGUCGCCUGAGCUAACACAGAUUGUUCGAUGCGGAUCUAAUCAACUGAUAAUAACCUAUUUAUUAUUCAUUUUCCUUCGACAUCCGGUGCAUCUAUGCACACAAAUUUUUCGACUUUCGCGAUGAAGAGAUGGACAAGGGUCGUAAGAAAAACCUUGGAUAGCCGUUCAAAACCGCCGUAGGGGUGCGCUCUUCACCAACAUGGGAAAGCACAUCGAAAAACCUGCU